rnacentral:tmRNA from 1 species
GGGGACGAAAGGGUUCGACAGGGAUGGUUGAGCCCGGAUUGCAGGCGGAGAUGGCCACGCUCUCCCUAAACAGGUGGCAAAACAGUAACUGGCAACUCUAACCAGUACGCUCUCGCUGCCUAAUCUAAGGUAGUGACGUUGGGCUCAGGCCUCACCCCGAUGGGCGGAGCCCGACGACGCAAUGUCGGGGCGCUGUCUCCCCCACGCCGGUAAGGGAGGCCUAAGACAACCGGCUGCGCCCGGCGGUUACGGCGCCGUUCACGGUACGCCGGGCGAGAUGCAAGCAACGGCUAAGCCUGUAGGACAUCCGGGUGGGCUGUCCACUGGACGAGGGGUUCAAUUCCCCUCCGUCUCCACCA